AUUGAACGCUGGCGGCAGGCCUAACACAUGUAAGUCGAGCGGAGAGGCGGACGGGUGAGUAAUGCCUAGGAAUCUGCCUGGUAGUGGGGGAUACCGUCCGGAAACGGGCGCUAAUACCGCAUACUAUCAGAUGAGCCUAGGUCGGCUUAGCUAGUUGGUGGGGUAAAGGCCUACCAAGGCGACGAUCCGUAACUGGUCUGAGAGGAGGAUCAGUCACACUGGAACUGAGACACGGUCCAGCGUCCUACGUGAGGCAGCGGUGGGGAAUAUUGGACGAUGGGCGAAAUCCUGAUCCAGCCAUGCCGCGUGGGUGAAGAAGGUCUUCGGAUUGUAAAGCACUUUAAGUUGGGAGGCGUUACCAACAGAAUAAGCACCGGCUAACUUCGUGCCAGCAGCCGCGGUAAUUC
rnacentral:rRNA from 1 species